rnacentral:rRNA from 1 species
GACGAACGCUGGCGGCAUGCCUAACACAUGCAAGUCGAACGGAGAUUAUUUCGGUAAUCUUAGUGGCGAACGGGUGAGUAACGCGUGGGCAACCUGCCCUCUAGAUGGGGACAACAUCCCGAAAGGGGUGCUAAUACCGAAUGUGACAGCAAUCUCGCAUGAGGAUGCUGUGAAAGAUGGCCUCUAUUUAUAAGCUAUCGCUAGAGGAUGGGCCUGCGUCUGAUUAGCUAGUUGGUGGGGUAACGGCCUACCAAGGCGAUGAUCAGUAGCCGGUCUGAGAGGAUGAACGGCCACAUUGGGACUGAGACACGGCCCAGACUCCUACGGGAGGCAGCAGUGGGGAAUCUUCCGCAAUGGGCGAAAGCCUGACGGAGCAAUGCCGCGUGAGUGAUGAAGGAAUUCGUUCCGUAAAGCUCUCUUGUUUAUGACGAAUGUGCAGGUUGUGAAUAAUGACUUGUAAUGACGGUAGUAAACGAAUAAGCCACGGCUAACUACGUGCCAGCCGCCGCCGUAA